UACGUAGGGUGCAGGCGUUAAUCGGAAUUACUGGGCGUAAAGCGUGCGCAGGCGGCUCCUUAAGUCAGAUGUGAAAUCCCCGGGCUUAACCUGGGAACUGCGUUUGAAACUGGGGAGCUGGAGUGUAGAAGAGGGGGGUGGAAUUCCAGGUGUAGCAGUGAAAUGCGUAGAUAUCUGGAGGAACACCGGUGGCGAAGGCGGCAUCCUGGACCGGUAUUGACGCUGAGGCGCGAAAGCUAGGGGAGCAAACGGG
rnacentral:rRNA from 1 species